GCGCAUGCUCACUUUCUCCCAGUACCCUGCCCUCCGAAGGCAGGGGUUGUUGGUUCGAUCCCAACCGGGCGCACCA
rnacentral:tRNA from 2 species